GCGAGCGGCGGAUGGGUGAGUAACACGUGGGGAACCUGCCCCUAAGUCUGGGAUACCAUUUGGAAACAGGUGCUAAUACCGGAUAAUAAAGCAGAUCGCAUGAUCAGCUUUUGAAAGGCGGCGUAAGCUGUCGCUAAGGGAUGGCCCCGCGGUGCAUUAGCUAGUUGGUAAGGUAACGGCUUACCAAGGCGACGAUGCAUAGCCGAGUUGAGAGACUGAUCGGCCACAUUGGGACUGAGACACGGCCCAAACUCCUACGGGAGGCAGCAGUAGGGAAUCUUCCACAAUGGACGCAAGUCUGAUGGAGCAACGCCGCGUGAGUGAAGAAGGUUUUCGGAUCGUAAAGCUCUGUUGUUGGUGAAGAAGGAUAGAGGUAGUAACUGGCCUUUAUUUGACGGUAAUCAACCAGAAAGUCACGGCUAACUACGUGCCAGCAGCCGCGGUAAUACGUAGGUGGCAAGCGUUGUCCGGAUUUAUUGGGCGUAAAGCGAGCGCAGGCGGAAAAAUAAGUCUAAUGUGAAAGCCCUCGGCUUAACCGAGGAACUGCAUCGGAAACUGUUUUUCUUGAGUGCAGAAGAGGAGAGUGGAACUCCAUGUGUAGCGGUGGAAUGCGUAGAUAUAUGGAAGAACACCAGUGGCGAAGGCGGCUCUCUGGUCUGCAACUGACGCUGAGGCUCGAAAGCAUGGGUAGCGAACAGGAUUAGAUACCCUGGUAGUCCAUGCCCGUAAAACGAUGAGUGCUAAGUGUUGGGAGGUUUCC
rnacentral:rRNA from 1 species